CGGCGUUAUUUGUUUAGAUCUAUCGUUGCUUACUAUUAUUUGAAUUUACGGUAAUUGCCGCCAUUACAAAGGAAAGUUGUUAGCGGAUAAGCUGUUGCCAACAAAUCGAUAAUAAAAGAAGAAUAGACGAUAAUCAUAUAGGAUUGUGUCGCAGGCGAGAACAACUUUGGCGUGCUGGCCAUCGUAUUGUCGUAAUCCACGCUGGAAUAUCACCUACCGUUGCCCUCUUUACUGUCAGCCUCAUAUCAAACAGCGGACGUUACUUCUAACUACAGAAGUGCGUAGAAGUUCAGUCGAAUAUCAGCUGAGCGGUAGCUGCGUCUCCCGCGCCUACGUACCAAUAGCAGCCGCCUUAGAAACCGUUACGAGGGAGGCCAGCAGCGAAUCACCGCUUCAACGAACCAGAAUUUUCGUGUAGAUAAGCAUCGCCGCUGUUACGAUCGAUUCCUUCCGCCAUUGUGGCUACAGAGCAAAGUGAGUUAAUUCUCUCUUUAUAUAUAUGUGUGUGUGCAUAUAUAGAAACAACAUCUGCAACGGAGGAGCCAGUCAGCGUAGUUCGAAUCAGUGAAAACAGGCUCAGAGCGUCUUCAGCAUCGGGUGAAGAGUGGCGUCCAUGUGAUGGUCCGUGCUAGAAGUAGAAGAUCUUGUUGGUUCAUGCAUCCAGGCAAAAAACAAUGCCGUGAACAGCGUUGAAAAUCUGAUCUUGUACAGGAAGUCCACAGCUUUAGCUGUUCUCUUUCACACACACCUCGAGCCUGCUAUACGUUCGGUUGUCAUCUUGCGGAACUUGAGCAAUAAAAUGAGUCCCGCUUCAUUUACUUGAAUUAUAACGUCUACGUGAUCACGCAAACUCGAUCGUCUUCGGGAACCACUGAGCACUGGAUUUCCUCGAUUGAAUCGAUCCUAAGAUACCGUCACCGCACCCUGUCCGUAUACCUAGACAAGGUCAGUUUUGAAGAUAAAGGGCUAUGUGUAUAUUAUAUGGGAAUUGGCACAUGUGAAUCUUUUGAUAUCCGGCCUUUGCGGAUUACGAGUCGUCCUUCGAGCGUGCCCUAUAUGGGCGUCAUCCGUUCUAGGCUUUUGAGUUCGAUGACAUUUACCUUGCAUUAAUUCUAGCAGCUGUGAACUUCUCGUAGUUACACCGGUCGAAUCAAGAAGGUUGAUACAUUGACGGGACGCCAUAUGAUACGGGAAAGCUGACGAGUUAAUACCAACGUAUGAUGUUGCUAUCUCUAUUACAUGGAUCGCGUAUCGGUUCGAUAGCUAAAAAAAGAACUGGCUAAAAAUAUCAGUAUCACAAUGAAAAUGCGGAAAACACCCAGUUACCUACUACGUAGUAUACUAGAAUGAUGUAAUGUUUAUGUUCGUAGUAAAAAAAAAAAAAAAAAAAACUCUUUCUUUCUCGGAAUAGAUGAGCCGUUUGCUAAUGGAUCUAUCAUUACCUAUUAGCCAGAGGCCAUUAUUACCUAGAAAACGAUCGACAUUAAAUAUGUGAGACUUUAAUAUUGUGCAGGCGUACCUAUUUCGAAGGAAGAAUUAAUAAAAUUGUAACGGAAAUUGGCGGUUCUGGGUUCGAAUAAACACAUUAUGUUUAUGCUGAUAGCCAGCAAUGCUGAACGGCAUUAGAGGUGUGAAAAUGCAAACAUUUAUUAACUUCGAAAAUAGUACAGGUUCUCGCUAGGUCCAACAAUUUGUAAACAAAUAUGCAGACGCUUUACUCAUUUUAAUGAGUGAUGUUUAAUGAAUGAUUUUAAUAGCUUUGUGUAGUAUACAUCUGAAGAAGCGGGGAAAGUAAAUUAAAAUUUACUGAAGAUGGUAGACGAAUGGGUCGUUACGCUUCGGGUUGAUGAUCCCCUAUAUUUGCUAGAGCAGCUAAUUGCUCGAUAUGAUCAUGUAAUGCUCGUUUAUUACAAACGAAAACUAUUCAAAGUAGCAUUCUCGCGUACAGAGAGCAAACUCAGACGUGAUCGGCAUCAAGUACGUUGCGCCUAGCAAACGUCAUCCUUAGCAAAGUCGUGCUCUCUUUGUUUAUACGUAUACGUGUAACGACUUUAUGAUAGCGGUGUGUCCAACAUGGAAUUAACAACUAUGAUCAAGCGUGUUUUACAAAAGGGCUGUUUCGUCAUUGAAACUAAAAAUAUUAGCGAUAAGCGACAAUGCCGAAUCCGGCGUGCGACUUCAUCUUGAUUUCUAUUACGAUCGAUAGCUGUUUUCUAAGAAACCACAGCAUAUGCUCUCCUCUAUUUGUAGUCAGAUUUUUAAGCCCAACCCACUUCGUUCCACCAGCUCGCCUGCUUCAGUAAUGUACGUAAUAAUUACGUAAUAAUAAGUAAUUAUAAUUAUAAAUUACUAAUGUACGUAUGACUUCGUUGACAGAAUUGAUGCGGACAUAUUUUCAAACGUUUUUUUUUAAGCCUUUUCAAACGUUUAUUUACUGCAUGUUUUACCAGCGGGCGGGGGACAUUGGGAAGUAAACAUUUUUAAAUUAAUAUUUAUGUAUUAUGUUCGAUUGGUCCACGCCUGGUACGUUCGCGUCCCUAAAGCGUUCUAUGUAUGCACAUUGUUUAUACGGUAUUUUGUUUUUUACAACGUUUAAAAUUGUACGUUUAAGUGAAAAUUGCUUGGCGUUAAGACAAUAAAUCAGCUAUUUUCUGAGAAAUAAAAUGUCCUAUUUCCUUAACUGGAUGCCCAUCCACUAUGAGCUCUUGUUAUGCAGAUGUCGAUGAUGACGUGUCAAGAUACCUAAUGCCGUACCACACUGUCCUGAGUUUGAGCUACAUAAGAAGUUGCUCCACCGAAAGUAUCCAAAUAGUUCUAGUAAGUUAAUUACAGAACUUUACGUGACUGUGAGUAAUUCAACUUCAAACAUUCGAUUUAGUUUAACACCACAUCGCCUAAGUCAUCGUAAUGCCGACUUUUCUAUCAUCUAGAUUUUUCUUCUCAGCUUCUAUACUUCUCAACAACUGCUGCACCUAACCUGAAUCAUUUGUUCUCAUU